GAUGAACGCUGGCGGCGUGCCUAAUACAUGCAAGUCGAGCGAACAGACGAGGAGCUUGCUCCUCUGACGUUAGCGGCGGACGGGUGAGUAACACGUGGAUAACCUACCUAUAAGACUGGGAUAACUUCGGGAAACCGGAGCUAAUACCGGAUAAUAUAUUGAACCGCAUGGUUCAAUAGUGAAAGACGGUUUUGCUGUCACUUAUAGAUGGAUCCGCGCCGCAUUAGCUAGUUGGUAAGGUAACGGCUUACCAAGGCAACGAUGCGUAGCCGACCUGAGAGGGUGAUCGGCCACACUGGAACUGAGACACGGUCCAGACUCCUACGGGAGGCAGCAGUAGGGAAUCUUCCGCAAUGGGCGAAAGCCUGACGGAGCAACGCCGCGUGAGUGAUGAAGGUCUUCGGAUCGUAAAACUCUGUUAUUAGGGAAGAACAAAUGUGUAAGUAACUAUGCACGUCUUGACGGGACCUAAUCAGAAAGCCACGGCUAACUACG
rnacentral:rRNA from 1 species